CAGUAACCACUGUGGUGCCUGGCACACACAAGGGGCUCACUAAUUAUGAUUUGCAGCCAUUAUUACAAAUGUCUGGGUCAUGCCAGAUGCAAGUGCUGGGAGGAGAAAAGAGAGGAAAGGACGGGUCAGCCCAGCAGUCUUUCACUUCCAGCCACACAACAGAAUUGCUUUACAGAAAUAUUGAUGCCCAGGCACCACUCCAGAGAUUUUGAUUCUUUGGAUCCCAGAGAGCUGCAGGGGCAGCUGCCUGGACCCAGCCUCUCAUGGAAGUCUGGACCAGCACCAGGCUCUUCUCCAGCAUGGAGAGGAUUGUGGGAGACACUGCAGCCAGAGGCGCUCGGAGUCCCUGAGGCAAGAGUGACGUGAGCUUGACCUGGACAUCUGAGGACGUCCGGUCCAACUCCUUGCCUUGGCAGGAAUCACUCCUGCAGCGUUCCCCGAGGGGGCUACCCACACCCACCUCACUCCAACCCUUCUCAGCCCCUGGGUCUCAGUCAUUUUCCCAGCUCCACUCGGGGCCAUUGCUCAACCCAUGUCAGGAGCUUGAAGCCUCACAACUCCAGGAAGUGAGUUUGUCAAUCUUAAUUUUCCCAGGGAAAAUAUAACAUCAGGAAGUCCACACAGCCAGCAUGUGGAAAUGUGGGAAAGCUGGGACUCAAACCUAGGUCUCAGAUGCUAAGGGCUGGGCUUUCUCCCACUGUUUCAUGCACCUAACCUCUUAGAAACGGGCUGAGCUGUUCUCUGCACACCCCACAUCUGGAGGUGAGAACACUAAGAAGUCAGUUACGUCAGGGCAAAGUGUGAGUUAGUGAGCUCAUCAGAAAAUGCUUCCUGGAGAAGGAAGUACAAUUCUGGAGGAGGGACCUGGUGGGCCAGUCUGGAGGCCUUGGCCUCUCUGGGCGCAAGCUCUGGGCUUGCCUGGUUCCCUCAGGGGCAGGGGAGCUGUCUUUCCAGAGGGACACAGCCCUGACCGAGGCCUGUUGAUUCCUCCUACCUGGAUUUCUUCUGGGUCUGUGGGUGUUCAGUCCUCAGGAGUCUGGAAGAGCACACACUAUCCCGACACCUUUGAUACCUACGUAUAUAGUCCCCUUGUUCUCAGAAUCGCCUGAGGCCACAUUCACAUCCUCAGUGCCUCAGGCUGCAACAUCCUCAGAGUCCAAUGUGUGGGCCUAACCAUUGAUGUCUGAGUCCAACAAUUCAUAUUCAUAUCGCUCAAUGACACACUGGCUUCAUGGUGGAAACGUCCCUGUUUGGGGGGAAGACCACUGGUGUGUUUUACAUUUGUGUGACCAAAAGGCCCAUUUGGUCAUUUCCCUCCCAACAAAGGGCAGGAGAGUUCAG
rnacentral:lncRNA from 1 species